rnacentral:antisense_RNA from 1 species
UUUGCAUAGAGCGCGGAGGCUGCGGCGCUCCCAGGCCAUUCCGAGCCGGAAAAGUUCCCGAAGGAGCCCCGCUCCCUCUCCCGGUUCAACUGUCCAGCCCCCUCUCCCUACCCCUCACCUGCACCCCACCCGCAUCCUACCUCGCCCCCGCUUCCAACUCCUUGCGCUAAGUUCCCGCACCUCGCCCCACCCCCGCUUUGACUCCGGUCCUGCCAGCCCCGACCUCCAUCCCAAGGCCUAGGGCCCCCUCUGCUGUCGUCCGCGGGUAGGGCAGCCGCAGAGCUCAUGGGGCAGAGAAGGGCUCCCCCAACCGACCAUCGCCCUACCCCUCCCAGUGCAGCAGGAUCCAGGGAGACCAUCUUUUGAACCUUCCCCAACCAGGGGCUGGACGUUACUGUGUCUGGAAGCCCUUCCUUGGGGAGCAGCACAGCCAGCAACAGACUUGAGUGAGUGACCUCCAGACCUGGGGAAAGAAGAGGGGAGACAGGAAGAGCCCAAAGGCCUGUGGGGAAGAACUGUGUUCAGCUUAGCUG